rnacentral:rRNA from 1 species
AUUAAACUUGAGAGUUUGAUCAUGGCUCAGAAUGUACGCUGGCGGCACGCCUAACACAUGCAAGUCGAGCGAGGUACUUGUACCUAGCGGCAGACGGGUGCGUAACAUGUGGGAAUCUGCCUUUUGGUUCGGAACAACAUGGGGAAACCUGUGCUAAUACCGGAUAAGUCCUUACGGAGAAAGAUUUAUCGCCGAAAGAUGAGCCCGCACUAGAUUAGCUUGUUGGUAAGGUAAAAGCUUACCAAGGCAACGAUCUAUAGCUGAUUUGAGAGGAUGAUCAGCCACACUGGGACUGAGACACGGCCCAGACUCCUACGGGAGGCAGCAGUAGGGAAUAUUGGACAAUGG